rnacentral:rRNA from 1 species
UAUAAUUAAUGAAAAGUUAGAUUUUAUCAAAAUAUAAAAAAAUAACAAAUCUUUUAAGAAAUAAAUUAUUUACUGAAAAGGUACAAAUUAAUAAACUAAAAGAAUAAUAAAGUACCUUUAGUAUCAGGGGAAAUUUAAUAGUAAUUUUAUAAAAGUAAUUCCCGAAAUAUAGAGAACUAUAAAAUUAUAAAAUUACUUGUGAAAUAAAGUUUACUAAUAAGAUUAUAGAAGAAAAAUUCCAAACAAGCUAUACAAUAUCUGGUUAUUUAGGAAAUUAAUUUAAUUAAAGAAUAAAGAUAAAUAAUAAUGAAAUUUUUAUUAUUCAAAAACUCCUAAGGAUAAGCUUAGUAGAAAAUUAAAAUUUUAAUUAAAUUAUUUUUUUUAAGAUUAAAAUAAACAAUUUAGUUCUUAAUAGAUUAAAAUAAAAUUAUUUAAUUUCUUUAAACUUAAAUUUUUACUAAAAUUAAAUAAUUAAUAUUAAUUAAUUAAAAUAAUGAUUUCAUAAGUAUAAAUUUUAAUUAAAAAAAUAUGAACUCGACAAAAAUUUUAUUCAACCGUUUAUCAAAAACAUUUCUUUUAGAAAAUAAUUGAAAGUAAAUUCUGCCCUAUGAAUAAUUAAAUGGCUGCAGUAUAAUGACUGUACAAAGGUAGCAUAAUAAUUAGUUUAUUAAUUGUAAACUGGAAUGAAAGAAUAAAUGAAAUACAAAUUUUAUUUUUAUUAAAAUUAAAAAUUUAUCUUUAAGUAAAAAAGCUUAAAUUAACUUUAGGGACGAGAAGACCCUAUAGAACUUAAUUUUUUAUGAACAAUUUAAUUCAUGAAAUAUUUUAUUGGGGUGAUAAUUAAAUUAUAAAACUUUAAUUUUAAAAAUCACCUUAAAUGUUUAGUUGAUCCAAAUGACUGAAAGAAAGAAAAAGUUACCUUAGGGAUAACAGCGUAAUUUUAAUGGAAAGUUCAAAUUUAUAUUAAAGAUUGCGACCUCGAUGUUGAAUUAAGAAAAACUUAAGGGGUAGAUUCUUUAAGAAAUAGUCUGUUCGACUAAAAAUUCUUACAUGAUUUGAGUUAAAACCGGUGUAAGCCAGGUUGGUUUCUAUCUUAAAAAAAUAAUAAUUAUUAGUACGAAAGGACCAUAAAUAUCUAUAUACAUAGAAAGAUUCUAACU